GACGAACGCUGGCGGCGUGCUUAACACAUGCAAGUCGAGCGGAGCGGCGAACGGGUGCGUAACGCGUGAGUAACUGCCCCCCUCUCUGGGAUAACAGUUGGAAACGGCUGCUUAUCCCGGAUCGUGGGGGAUGACUCGCGUCCUAUCAGUUUGUUGGUGGGGUAGUGGCCUACCGAGGCGACGACGGGUAGCCGGCCUGAGAGGGCGACCGGCCACCAUGGGCUGAGAGACGGCCCAAACUCCUACGGGACGCAGCAGGGGGGAAUAUUGCACAAUGGGGGAAAGCCUAAUGCAGAGACGCCGGGUGAGUGAUGUCGGCCUUCGGGUUGGAAACCGCUUUCAGCCAUGACGCGGUAGUGGCAGAAGAAACACCGGCUAACUACGUGCCAGCAGCCGCGGUAAUAC
rnacentral:rRNA from 1 species